rnacentral:rRNA from 1 species
GACGAACGCUGGCGGCGUGCCUAAUACAUGCAAGUCGAACGCAGUUGCGCACGGGUGAGUAACGCGUAGGUAACUGCCUCAUAGCGGGGGAUAACUUUUGGAAACGAUAGCUAAUACCGCAUACUGUGAGAUGUACCUGCGUUGUAUUAGCUAGUUGGGGGGGUAAAGGCUCACCAAGGCGACGAUACAUAGCCGACCUGAGAGGGUGAUCGGCCACACUGGGACUGAGACACGGCCCAGACGCCUACGGGAGGCAGCAGUAGGGAAUCUGCGGAAAUGGACGGAAGUCUGACCGAGCAACGCCGUGUGAGUGAAUAAGGUUUUCGGAGCGUAAAGCUCUGUUGUUAGAGAAGCGGUAACGACACAGAAAGGGACGGCUAAAUACGUGCCAGCAGCCGCGGUAAUUC